AUGACGAGGGAGCGAAGUACUGGCAAGAAGCGGUCAGGGACCAAGCGGAACCAGGGCGGCAGCAGAGGGAACGAGGAGGAGAAGCCCGUGCCUGGGGCGAAGGAGGAGAAGCUGCCACCGAAGCUGUCCACCGACGCUCUGUUUCCAGGGGACAAGGGAGAGAUCAGGGCCAUGGAGGGGAAGAAGCCAACGCCGCAGAUGGUGUUCAUGGCAGAGAAGGAGGAGACAGUAAACAACGAAUCAGGGGUUUGGAAGAGAAAUCAGUCUACGGAUGUGGCGUCUCCUGGGGACAGCGGAGGAAUCACGAGGAGAGAUGGCAAGGGGGUGAAGGAGAAAAAGCCGGCAGCAAAGACUCACAACAACGACAGCAGAGCGAAGCGGCACCAGGGCGGCAGCAGAGGGGAGGAGGAGAAGCCAGUGCCUGUGGCGAAGGGGAAGAAACUGCCACCGAAGCACUCCACGUACGCUCUGUUCCCAGUGGACAAGGGAGAGAGUAGGGGGGGUGAGGGUGAGAAGCCAGCACCACAGAUGGUGUUAACGGCAAAGCAGGAGGAGGUGGUAAACGCCGAGGCAGGGAAGAAGCGGAAGCAAUCCCCAGAGGAGGAUGAGGGGCAGAGCAGAGGGGUGAAGCCAUUAGGAACCAGGCACAUGGAGAAGUUGGAAGCAGAGAUACAGGUGCUGCCCGAGGAGGUGGUAAACACCAAGGCAGGGAAGAAGCGGAAGCAAUCCCCAGAGGAGGAUGAGGGGCAGAGCAGAGGGGCGAAGUCAUUAGGAACCAGGCACAUGGAGAAGUCGGAAGCAGAGAUACAGGUGCUGCCAAAGGGCGAUAAUGUCGAUGGCAAAGAGAAGAAAAAGAAAGGGAAAAGAAUCCGGAGGAGUAAACUAAAGAAGGACCGGCUUAUCACCCGCGCUGCACAACGAAAUAUGUUUGGAUCGGCUUUGAAGGAUGAAUUUCCUGUGUUAAAAGAUGGCUCAAAACCAAAAGUACUGAUAACAGCAUGCCAGUAUAUUAUGGACAAGCAAGGACCUUCAUCUUCAUUUAUUCAUGAGCUAAUGCAACUCAUUCCAGAUGCAUGCUAUAUUCAUCGGACGAAUGUUUGCCUCGAUGAAGUGGUUGAGUAUGCGAAUGAAAGAAAAUUUACUUCACUUAUUGUUGCUCUUUCUGAUGGCUUAAAAAUUAUCAACUUGCCUGAUGGUCCCCUUGCACACCUUGAGCUCUCUGAGUUUACUCCACGAAAGGACAUAAAGAAUCAUGGGGAGCCAAUAAGUCGUGAGCCAGAGUUAGUGUUUAAUAAUUUUGAAGCACAUCUUGGCUAUCGUCUUCAAAGGUUGAUAUCGUCUCUUUUCCCUCAAGCUGAUUUCAAUAAACGGCAAGUGUUCACAUUUGAACUGAAGCAACAGCAUAUACUGUUCCGUAAUCACAGCAUUGAGAACAGCGAGGAUCAAAAUUCUGUUGUGCAAGUGUGCAUAGUAAAUGCUAAUCUGUGGUCGUACGAGAUGGCAUUGAGGGCUAGAAAUUAUAUUGACCCACUACACGAUGAAGCAAGAUUAAGGAAUACAAGAAAAUGGGAGUGGGUAUGGUUUUACACUUUACCUCGAACAGUUGGUGGGUGA
rnacentral:rRNA from 1 species